UUAUAGACUAAAUUGGAUUGAGUCUUGGUAUGGAAACCUACGAAGUGAUAACUUUCAAAUUCAGAGAAACCCUGGAAUGAAAAAUGGGCAAUCCUGAGCCAAAUCCUAUUAUUUUAUUAUUUUAUGAAAAUAAACAUGAGCAAAGGUUCAGCAAGCUAGAAUAAUAAAAAUAGGAAAGGAUAGGUGCAGAGACUCAAUGGAAGCUAUUCUAACAAAUCGGGUUGACUGUUGGUAAAGGAAUCCUUAUAUCGAAUAUCGAAACUCUAGAAAGGAUGCAAGAUAUACCUAUUUUUUUAAAAAGUA
rfam:Gossypium raimondii chromosome 4, whole genome shotgun sequence.